rnacentral:rRNA from 1 species
UAGGGAAUCUUCGGCAAUGGACGAAAGUCUGACCGAGCAACGCCGCGUGAGUGAAGAAGGUUUUCGGAUCGUAAAACUCUGUUGUUAGAGAAGAACAAGGACGUUAGUAACUGAACGUCCUCUGACGGUAUCUAACCAGAAAGCCACGGCUAACUACGUGCCAGCAGCCGCGGUAAUACGUAGGUGGCAAGCGUUGUCCGGAUUUAUUGGGCGUAAAGCGAGCGCAGGCGGUUUCUUAAGUCUGAUGUGAAAGCCCCCGGCUCAACCGGGGGGGGUCAUUAGAAACUGGGAGACUUGAGGGCAGAAGAGGAGGGUGGAAUUCCAUGUGUGGCGGUGAAAUGCGUAGAUAUAUGAAGGAACGCCAGUGGCGAAGGCGGCUCUCUGGUCUGUAACUGACGCUGAGGCACGAAUGCGUGGGGAGCAAACAGA